GACGAACGCUGGCGGCGUGCUUAACACAUGCAAGUCGAACGGGAAGGCCCUGCUUUUGUGGGGUGCUCGAGUGGCGAACGGGUGAGUAACACGUGAGUAACCUGCCCUUGACUUUGGGAUAACUUCAGGAAACUGGGGCUAAUACCGGAUAGGAGCUCCUGCUGCAUGGGGGGGGUUGGAAAGUCUCGGCGGUUGGGGAUGGACUCGCGGCUUAUCAGCUUGUUGGUGGGGUAGUGGCUUACCAAGGGUUUGACGGGUAGCCGGCCUGAGAGGGUGACCGGGCACAUUGGUACUGAGAUACGGCCCAGAAGCGUACGGGAGGCAGCGGUGGGAAAUAUUGCACAAUGGGCGGAAGCCUGAUGCAGCAACGCCGCGUGCGGGAAGACGGCUUUCUGGUUGUAAACCGAUUUCGCCUGUGACGAAGCGUGAGUGACGGUAAUGGGUAAAAAAGCACCGGCUAACUACGUG
rnacentral:rRNA from 1 species